GAUGAACGCUGGCGGCGUGCUUAACACAUGCAAGUCGAACGGAAAGGCUCCUGCUUGCCGGGGUACUCGAGUGGCGAACGGGUGAGUAACACGUGGGUGAUCUGCCCUGCACUUCGGGAUAAGCCUGGGAAACUGGGUCUAAUACAGGAGAGGACGAUGGUUUGGAUGCCAUUGUGGAAAGUUUUGUCGGUGUGGGAUGAGCUCGCGGCCUAUCAGCUUGUUGGUGGGGUAAUGGUCUACCAAGGCGUCGACGGGUAGCCGGCCUGAGAGGGUGUACGGCCACAUUGGGACUAAGAUACGGCCCAGACUCCUACGGGAGACAGCAGUGGGGAAUAUUGCACAAUGGUCGCAAGCCUGAUGCAGCGACGCCGCGUGGGGGAUGACGGCCUUCUUGUUGUAAACUCCUUUCGCUAGGGACGAUGCGCAAGUGACGGUACCUGGAGAAGAAGCACCGGCUAACUACGUG
rnacentral:rRNA from 1 species